rnacentral:lncRNA from 1 species
CGGGGUUCACACAUUGCCGAUUAUUACUCCCGUUUGAGAUCAGACAGCGAUACGACACGAAAAGUGAAAAAGUCGGAUUAGUAUCCUCAAUUAUCUGGAAUGUCCUAUUAUUGUCUGAACGCAGUCGUUUUAGUUCGUAACAGAUUCCUACUGGUCGGGAAGGGUCCGAAUAGUUCGACAAAGCACCCCGACAGUUCGGUGCGUCCCGUAACAUUCGGGGAAACUCAGCCGAUUUUGUCUAGUCGGAUUACAAUCGUGCCUAUGUCGUGACAGAUUCUGC